UGGGGAAUUUUGGACAAUGGGCGAAAGCCUGAUCCAGCAAUGCCGCGUGUGUGAAGAAGGCCUUCGGGUUGUAAAGCACUUUUGUCCGGAAAGAAAUCCUUGGCUCUAAUACAGUCGGGGGAUGACGGUACCGGAAGAAUAAGCACCGGCUAACUACGUGCCAGCAGCCGCGGUAAUACGUAGGGUGCAAGCGUUAAUCGGAAUUACUGGGCGUAAAGCGUGCGCAGGCGGUUUGCUAAGACCGAUGUGAAAUCCCCGGGCUCAACCUGGGAACUGCAUUGGUGACUGGCAGGCUAGAGUAUGGCAGAGGGGGGUAGAAUUCCACGUGUAGCAGUGAAAUGCGUAGAGAUGUGGAGGAAUACCGAUGGCGAAGGCAGCCCCCUGGGCCAAUACUGACGCUCAUGCACGAAAGCGUGGGGAGCAAACAGGAUUAGAUACCCUGGUAGUCCGCGCCCUAAACGAUGUCAACUAGUUGUUGGGGAUUCAUUUCCUAGUAACGUAGCUAACGCGUGAAGUUGACCGCCUGGGGAGUACGGUCGCAAGAUUAAAACUCAAAUGAAUUGACGGGGU
rnacentral:rRNA from 1 species